GUAGCGGAAGGGUGAGGAACGCGUGAGUAAUCUGCCCCCUAGUUGGGAAUAACAGCUGGAAACGGCUGCUAAUACCGAAUGUGGCUUGAGCUUCGCAUGGAGCUCCGGCUAAAGAUUUAUCGCUAGGGGAUGAGCUCGCGUCCCAUUAGGUAGUUGGUGAGGUAACGGCCCACCAAGCCGACGAUGGGUAGCUGGUCUGAGAGGAUGGUCAGCCACACUGGGACUGAGACACUGCCCAGACUCCUACGGGAGGCUGCAGUCGAGAAUCUUGGGCAAUGCGCGAAAGCGUGACCCAGCAAUGCCGCGUGUGUGAUGAAGGCCCUCGGGUCGUAAAACACUGUCUCCCGUGACGAUAAUGACGGUAGCGGGGAAGGAAGCCACGGCUAACUACGUGCCAGCAGCCGCGGUAAUACGUAGGUGGCGAGCGUUGUUCGGAUUUAUUGGGCGUAAAGGGUCUGUAGGAGGUCUGUUAAAUUCGGGGUGAAAUCCCAAA
rnacentral:rRNA from 1 species